GCUGGGUGUGGUGGCGCGUGCCUGUAAUCCCAGCUACUCGGAGGCUGAGGCAGGAGAAUCGCUUGAACCCAGGAGGCAGAGCUUGCAGUGAGCCGAGAUCGCGCCACUGCACUCCAGCCUGGGUGACAGAGCGAGACUCCAUCUCCA
ensembl:misc_RNA Metazoa_SRP Metazoan signal recognition particle RNA